CGUCCACGAUCUAUUUAUUUCUUUGGUUUUAUAGCCACCAAUGGAUCAAUCGUUAGCAAACUAACACAAACCUUAAGCUCUUUAUUGUCUUUCUUCUUCGAAUUCAAAACCUUGAGCUCUUUAUUGUCUUUCUUCUUCGAAUUCAAAACCUUGACCUGUACAGAGAACGAAAAAUGUAAGAUAAACAUGUUGAGAAGAAUAUAUGACGGGGGUACAAAGGCAUUCUCCCAUGAAAUUACAAAAAGUUUUGUGGCAAGAUAAAAUCAAUCUCUUGCGCUCCUUUGGUUGAAGAGUUACCCAAAUUUUAAUGUACUUACAGGCGGUGGUUUGAUACACUCUCUUUUUUUCAACUGUUCAAGUUAUGAGUUUUUUGUCAAUUACUUUAAGAAUUCUUGAUUACAUAAAUUGUUUUACUGAUAAAUUUUCUUGCCAUUUGAAUUUUUGUAAUCCCAAUCAUCUGUAUUUUUAAUACUAUUUGUUAUUACAUUUUGGUUAAA